rnacentral:rRNA from 1 species
CGUAAACGAUGAGUGCUAAGUGUUAGGGGGUUUCCCCCUUUAGUGCUGCAGCUAACGCAUUAAGCACUCCGCUGGGGAGUACGACCGCAAGGUUGAAACUCAAAGGAAUUGACGGGGGCCCGCACAGCGGUGGAGCAUGUGGUUUAAUUCGAAGCAACGCGAAGAACCUUACCAGGUCUUGACAUCCUUUGACCACUCUAGAGAUAGAGCUUUCCCUUCGGGGACAAAGUGACAGGUGGUGCAUGGUUGUCGUCAGCUCGUGUCGUGAGAUGUUGGGUUAAGUCCCGCAACGAGCGCAACCCUUAUUGUUAGUUGCCAUCAUUAAGUUGGGCACUCUAGCGAGACUGCCGGUGACAAACCGGAGGAAGGUGGGGAUGACGUCAAAUCAUCAUGCCCCUUAUGACCUGGGCUACACACGUGCUACAAUGGACAGUACAAUGAGCAGCGACACGGCGACGUGAAGCGAAUCUCAUAAAGCUGUUCUCAGUUCGGAUUGUAGGCUGCAACUCGCCUACAUGAAGCCGGAAUCGCUAGUAAUCGCGGAUCAGCACGCCGCGGUGAAUACGUUCCCGGGCCUUGUACACACCGCCCGUCACACCACGAAAGUUUGUAACACCCGAAGUCGGUGAGGUAACCGCAAGGAGCCAACCGCCUAAGGUGGGAUAGAUGAUUGGGGUGAAGUCGUAACAAGGUAACCAAGGGCGAAUUCCAG